UGUCCCCGUAGCUCAGCUGGAUAGAGCACUCGCCUCCUAAGCGAGGGGUCGGAGGUUCGAAUCCUCUCGAGGACGCUUA
rnacentral:tRNA from 1 species